AACAUCUUUCAACUGUUUCACUUUCAUCCCAAAUUGCUAAUUCUAAACUUCUAAAAAUUACAGUUUGACCAUAAAAUUAAAAAUAAUUUGCAAUAGAAUCCCUAGACGAAAUUCCUCAACAUAAUCAAGACUUGGACAUAUUUGGACAUACUUUGGACAUAUUUGGACAUAUUUGGACAUAUUUUGGACCAAACUAACUUUAACUACUAACUCUAAUUACUAACUGCUAACUCCUAACUUUUAUUUAAUUUCAGUUAUUUAAUUUUCUGCAUUUAUUUAAUUUCGUAUUUAUUUAUUUUUGCUUUAUUGGUGGGUACAACCACCAAACUAACUACUAAC
rnacentral:lncRNA from 1 species